rnacentral:rRNA from 2 species
GGUUAAGCGACUAAGCGUACACGGUGGAUGCCCUGGCAGUCAGAGGCGAUGAAGGGCGUGCUAAUCUGCGAUAAGCGCCGGUAAGGUGAUAUGAACCGUUAUAACCGGCGAUACCCGAAUGGGGAAACCCAGUGUGAUUCGUCACACUAUCAUUAACUGAAUCCAUAGGUUAAUGAGGCGAACCGGGGGAACUGAAACAUCUAAGUACCCCGAGGAAAAGAAAUCAACCGAGAUUCCCCCAGUAGCGGCGAGCGAACGGGGAGGAGCCCAGAGCCUGAAUCAGCAUGUGUGUUAGUGGAAGCGUCUGGAAAGGCGCGCGAUACAGGGUGACAGCCCCGUACACAAAAGCGCAUGUGCUGUGAGCUCGAUGAGUAGGGCGGGACACGUGGUAUCCUGUCUGAAUAUGGGGGGACCAUCCUCCAAGGCUAAAUACUCCUGACUGACCGAUAGUGAACCAGUACCGUGAGGGAAAGGCGAAAAGAACCCCGGCGAGGGGAGUGAAAAAGAACCUGAAACCGUGUACGUACAAGCAGUGGGAGCCCCACCACUAAGCCAGUGGUGAACUCCACAUACGCAUCCUUUGCUGAGGAUACGGUUAACGGAGCGCAAGCGACGUUCAACCUCAAAAGAAGCAGAGGGGGCUUAGUGGUGGGGUGACUGCGUACCUUUUGUAUAAUGGGUCAGCGACUUAUAUUCUGUAGCAAGGUUAACCGUAUAGGGGAGCCGGAGGGAAACCGAGUCUUAACCGGGCGUUAAGUUGCAGGGUAUAGACCCGAAACCCGGUGAUCUAGCCAUGGGCAGGUUGAAGGUUGGGUAACACUAACUGGAGGACCGAACCGACUAAUGUUGAAAAAUUAGCGGAUGACCUGUGGCUGGGGGUGAAAGGCCAAUCAAACCGGGAGAUAGCUGGUUCUCCCCGAAAGCUAUUUAGGUAGCGCCUCGUGAAUUCAUCUCCGGGGGUAGAGCACUGUUUCGGCUAGGGGGCCAUCCCGGCUUACCAACCCGAUGCAAACUGCGAAUACCGGAGAAUGUUAUCACGGGAGACACACGGCGGGUGCUAACGUCCGUCGUGAAGAGGGAAACAACCCAGACCGCCAGCUAAGGUCCCAAAGUCAUGGUUAAGUGGGAAACGAUGUGGGAAGGCCCAGACAGCCAGGAUGUUGGCUUAGAAGCAGCCAUCAUUUAAAGAAAGCGUAAUAGCUCACUGGUCGAGUCGGCCUGCGCGGAAGAUGUAACGGGGCUAAACCAUGCACCGAAGCUGCGGCAGCGAACGUAUCACUUAAAGCGAUUCAGCGGGUUACGAUUGACGGAGCGAAGCGACGUCAAAGCGUAUACAAAGUCGAGUCGGUUUAAGGAUACGUUCGUUGGGUAGGGGAGCGUUCUGUAAGCCUGUGAAGGUGGCCUGUGAGGGUUGCUGGAGGUAUCAGAAGUGCGAAUGCUGACAUAAGUAACGAUAAAGCGGGUGAAAAGCCCGCUCGCCGGAAGACCAAGGGUUCCUGUCCAACGUUAAUCGGGGCAGGGUGAGUCGACCCCUAAGGCGAGGCCGAAAGGCGUAGUCGAUGGGAAACGGGUUAAUAUUCCCGUACUUGGUGUUACUGCGAAGGGGGGACGGAGAAGGCUAUGUUGGCCGGGCGACGGUUGUCCCGGUUUAAGCGUGUAGGUGUGUGUUCCAGGUAAAUCCGGUUCACUUUAACACUGAGGCGUGACGACGAGGCACUACGGUGCUGAAGCAACAAAUGCCCUGCUUCCAGGAAAAGCCUCUAAGCAUCAGGUAACAUCAAAUCGUACCCCAAACCGACACAGGUGGUCAGGUAGAGAAUACCAAGGCGCUUGAGAGAACUCGGGUGAAGGAACUAGGCAAAAUGGUGCCGUAACUUCGGGAGAAGGCACGCUGACACGUAGGUGAAGUGAUUUACUCACGGAGCUGAAGUCAGUCGAAGAUACCAGCUGGCUGCAACUGUUUAUUAAAAACACAGCACUGUGCAAACACGAAAGUGGACGUAUACGGUGUGACGCCUGCCCGGUGCCGGAAGGUUAAUUGAUGGGGUCAGCGCAAGCGAAGCUCCUGAUCGAAGCCCCGGUAAACGGCGGCCGUAACUAUAACGGUCCUAAGGUAGCGAAAUUCCUUGUCGGGUAAGUUCCGACCUGCACGAAUGGCGUAAUGAUGGCCAGGCUGUCUCCACCCGAGACUCAGUGAAAUUGAACUCGCUGUGAAGAUGCAGUGUACCCGCGGCAAGACGGAAAGACCCCGUGAACCUUUACUAUAGCUUGACACUGAACAUUGAGCCUUGAUGUGUAGGAUAGGUGGGAGGCUUUGAAGUGUGGACGCCAGUCUGCAUGGAGCCGACCUUGAAAUACCACCCUUUAAUGUUUGAUGUUCUAACGUGGACCCGUGAUCCGGGUUGCGGACAGUGUCUGGUGGGUAGUUUGACUGGGGCGGUCUCCUCCUAAAGAGUAACGGAGGAGCACGAAGGUUGGCUAAUCCUGGUCGGACAUCAGGAGGUUAGUGCAAUGGCAUAAGCCAGCUUGACUGCGAGCGUGACGGCGCGAGCAGGUGCGAAAGCAGGUCAUAGUGAUCCGGUGGUUCUGAAUGGAAGGGCCAUCGCUCAACGGAUAAAAGGUACUCCGGGGAUAACAGGCUGAUACCGCCCAAGAGUUCAUAUCGACGGCGGUGUUUGGCACCUCGAUGUCGGCUCAUCACAUCCUGGGGCUGAAGUAGGUCCCAAGGGUAUGGCUGUUCGCCAUUUAAAGUGGUACGCGAGCUGGGUUUAGAACGUCGUGAGACAGUUCGGUCCCUAUCUGCCGUGGGCGCUGGAGAACUGAGGGGGGCUGCUCCUAGUACGAGAGGACCGGAGUGGACGCAUCACUGGUGUUCGGGUUGUCAUGCCAAUGGCACUGCCCGGUAGCUAAAUGCGGAAGAGAUAAGUGCUGAAAGCAUCUAAGCACGAAACUUGCCCCGAGAUGAGUUCUCCCUGAGACUUUAAGUCUCCUGAAGGAACGUUGAAGACGACGACGUUGAUAGGCCGGGUGUGUAAGCGCAGCGAUGCGUUGAGCUAACCGGUACUAAUGAACCGUGAGGCUUAACCUU